CACAUGCAAGUCGAGGGGCAGCAUGGUCUUAGCUUGCUAAGGCCGAUGGCGACCGGCGCACGGGUGAGUAACACGUAUCCAACCUGCCGUCUACUCUUGGACAGCCUUCUGAAAGGAAGAUUAAUACAAGAUGGCAUCAUGAGUCCGCAUGUUCACAUGAUUAAAGGUAUUCCGGUAGACGAUGGGGAUGCGUUCCAUUAGAUAGUAGGCGGGGUAACGGCCCACCUAGUCUUCGAUGGAUAGGGGUUCUGAGAGGAAGGUCCCCCACAUUGGAACUGAGACACGGUCCAAACUCCUACGGGAGGCAGCAGUGAGGAAUAUUGGUCAAUGGGCGAGAGCCUGAACCAGCCAAGUAGCGUGAAGGAUGACUGCCCUAUGGGUUGUAAACUUCUUUUAUAAAGGAAUAAAGUCGGGUAUGCAUACCCGUUUGCAUGUACUUUAUGAAUAAGGAUCGGCUAACUCCGUGCCAGCAGCCGCGGUAAUACGGAGGAUCCGAGCGUUAUCCGGAUUUAUUGGGUUUAAAGGGAGCGUAGAUGGAUGUUUAAGUCAGUUGUGAAAGUUUGCGGCUCAACCGUAAAAUUGCAGUUGAUACUGGACAUCUUGAGUGCAGUUGAGGCAGGCGGAAUUCGUGGUGUAGCGGUGAAAUGCUUAGAUAUCACGAAGAACUCCGAUUGCGAAGGCAGCCUGCUAAGCUGCAACUGACAUUGAGGCUCGAAAGUGUGGGUAUCAAACAGGAUUAGAUACCCUGGUAGUCCACACGGUAAACGAUGAAUACUCGCUGUUUGCGAUAUACAGCAAGCGGCCAAGCGAAAGCGUUAAGUAUUCCACCUGGGGAGUACGCCGGCAACGGUGAAACUCAAAGGAAUUGACGGGGGCCCGCACAAGCGGAGGAACAUGUGGUUUAAUUCGAUGAUACGCGAGGAACCUUACCCGGGCUUAAAUUGCAGAUGAAUUACGGUGAAAGCCGUAAGCCGCAAGGCAUCUGUGAAGGUGCUGCAUGGUUGUCGUCAGCUCGUGCCGUGAGGUGUCGGCUUAAGUGCCAUAACGAGCGCAACCCUUGUUGUCAGUUACUAACAGGUUCCGCUGAGGACUCUGACAAGACUGCCAUCGUAAGAUGUGAGGAAGGUGGGGAUGACGUCAAAUCAGCACGGCCCUUACGUCCGGGGCUACACACGUGUUACAAUGGGGGGUACAGAGGGCCGCUACCACGCGAGUGGAUGCCAAUCCCCAAAACCUCUCUCAGUUCGGACUGGAGUCUGCAACCCGACUCCACGAAGCUGGAUUCGCUAGUAAUCGCGCAUCAGCCACGGCGCGGUGAAUACGUUCCCGGGCCUUGUACACACCGCCCGUCAAGCCAUGGGAGCCGGGGGUACCUGAAGUGCGUAACCGCGAGGAGCGCCCUAGGGUAAAACUGGUGACUGGGGCUAAGUAG
rnacentral:rRNA from 1 species